CACGGGUGAGUAACACGUAUCCAACCUGCCGUCUACUCUUGGACAGCCUUCUGAAGGAAGAUUAAUACAAGAUGGCAUCAUGAGUCCGCAUGUUCACAUGAUUAAAGGUAUUCCGGUAGACGAUGGGGAUGCGUUCCAUUAGAUAGUAGGCGAGGUAACGGCCCACCUAGUCUUCGAUGGAUAGGGGUUCUGAGAGGAAGGUCCCCCACAUUGGAACUGAGACACGGUCCAA
rnacentral:rRNA from 1 species